GCGCCUGUAGCUCAAUUGGAUAGAGCACGUGGCUUCGGACCAUGGGGUUGCGGGUUCAACUCCUGCCAGGCGCG
rnacentral:tRNA from 1 species